rnacentral:tRNA from 1 species
AGGAUUUUAGUUUAAUCUUCAAAACAUUUAAGUUGCAUUUAAAAAAUAUUUUUAAUAAAUCUUA